rnacentral:rRNA from 1 species
UACGGGGGGGGCAAGCGUUGUUCGGAAUUACUGGGCGUAAAGGGUUUGUAGGUGGCUUGUUAAGUCAGACGUGAAAUCCCUCAGCUUAACUGGGGAACUGCGUCUGAUACUGGCGAGCUUGAGUGCAGGAGAGGAACGCGGAAUUCCCGGUGUAGCGGUGAAAUGCGCAGAUAUCGGGAGGAACACCGGUGGCGAAGGCGGUUCUCUGGAUCUCUUCUGACGCUGAGGCACGAAAGCUAGGGGAGCAAACGGG